GCACAACACAGGUGGACGAUAACAAGAAGCUUGGCGAGUGGUCGGGGCUCUGCAAGAUCGACCGCGAGGGGAAACCACGCAAGGUGGUCGGAUACAGCUGCGUGGUCGUGAAGGACUACGGCAAGGAGACGCAAGCCAAGGACGUGCUGGAGGAGUACUUCAAGGGCAAGUGAAGCUCUUCCUGCUCCUCUUGCAUCGUCCCUACGAUCGCGAUGGAACAAUAAAAGUGUCACUCAACCUGC